rnacentral:rRNA from 1 species
AGUGAACGCUGGCGGUAGGCCUAACACAUGCAAGUCGAACGGAAGCACAGUAAGAGCUUGCUCUUACGGGUGGCGAGUGGCGGACGGGUGAGGAAUACAUCGGAAUCUACUUUUUCGUGGGGGAUAACGUAGGGAAACUUACGCUAAUACCGCAUACGACCUACGGGUGAAAGCAGGGGAUCUUCGGACCUUGCGCGAUUGAAUGAGCCGAUGUCGGAUUAGCUAGUUGGCGGGGUAAAGGCCCACCAAGGCGACGAUCCGUAGCUGGUCUGAGAGGAUGAUCGGCCACACUGGAACUGAGACACGGUCCAGACUCCUACGGGAGGCAGCAGUGGGGAAUAUUGGACAAUGGGCGCAAGCCUGAUCCAGCCAUACCGCGUGGGUGAAGAAGGCCUUCGGGUCGUAAAGCCCUUUUGUUGGGAAAGAAAAGCAGCAGGUUAAUACCCCGCUGUUCUGACGGUACCCAAUGAAUAAGCACCGGCUAACUUCGUG